ensembl:rRNA 5S_rRNA 5S ribosomal RNA
GCCUACGACCAUCUCACCCUGAAUGCGCCCGAUCUCGUCUGAUCUCGGAAGCUAAGCAGAGUCGAGCCUGGUUGGUACUUGGCUGGGAGACUGCCUGCGAAUACCAGGUGUUGUAGGCU